CUCGAUGCCAAAUUGAAGUAUGGAAUUAAAGUGGCUGAAGUAGGCGGUUCUAGCAGCUUCAUGCGUUGAGACAAUCCUUAUUCUUCUGAUGAGGUGGGAAUCUAUGUUAAGACCAAGGAAUUUAAUCGUAUAUCCCGUAUCUGGCUCUCUAUUGAUGUCACCAACAGCGAAGUAUCAUCAGCGAAAAGGCACGUCAAAUCAGCCGUCAAGUUUUGUGGUAAGUCAUUGAUCUAGAUCAGGAACAAAA